UAACAAUUUUCCUUUUUCUUUCGUUCUCCGCCUCUCUGCUUCUGCCGCUAAUCACAGGCUUCACCAUCAUCGUCGGCACUCAUCUAAGCAUCCAUCGUCAUAGUCGUCGGAAAUCCAAGCGGCCAGCGUAGGUACUCAGGCUCCUCUCCAUCUCCGAUGGCCGGUAGGGGUCGAGGUAGGUCUAGGAAGGAUAAAAGGCCUACUGAUCAUGAUAAUGGUGCUACACCCUCUCUUUCUUCCACUCCACACUUUCAUCCCUCUACCGCCGAUGGUCGGCAUCAAUCUUCUAGGCACAGAUCUAUUCCACCACAUCCAUCUACUCAUUAUACUACCCACCAUUCACCCGUCCAGCAGUAUUAUCACAAUUCUCCACCACAGGGCUAUACCCCGCUUCCUCCUAAUGAUCCUACCAAUAGUUACAUAGGUGCAUCGAGUCACCAGUCACAGGGCCAUGUGAUACGCCCGUCAUUUGCUCUAUUUGCUUCAUCUCCAGCCAGAUCGCAUCCAUCUAGAUUUGAGACGGCCGGAUCGCAGUAGUGGUCUGGAUCGGAGCAGGGGUCUAGAUCUGUGCAGGGAUGUAGAUCGCGGACAUCUUCAAGGACCCCGUCUCCCUCUCCACAGAGUUUGUCUCCUAGCAUUUCUAGACUUCAUCUUUGAGAUAGUAGCACUGAUCCAGAUGCCCCCUCUUCUGCGCAUGCUUCAGAUUCAUUGGAGGAUGAUGAUCCGGAUGAUGUACGUUAUGAUCAUUACCAUAGGAUGAUCAUCAGGCCUGAAGACAAUGGGUUUAUUUCUAAUAAUCAUGUUACAAAGAUAAUCACUGAUAUACUUGCCCCGUUGUAUUUAACACCCUAUCCGACUUGGAGUGACUUUCCAGAUAGUCUCGUGCAACAGAUGUUCAACCAAUUUAAGACUAAGUGUUCCUUGGAGGACCAGUAUAACCGUGAAAUUUGUAAAAAUUGGGAGUACAAAUGCCGUAGGAGACUCUGAUUCCUUCAGCACCGUUCGAAGGGUUAAAAAGAAGCCUUCAUGGGUUCUACCACAUAUAUGGGUGGAUCUAGAGAAGUAUUGGACCACCGAAAAAUUCAAGAAGCAGAGUGAACAGGGAAAGAAGGCCCGAGCAUCUGAGAAGGGUGGCUCCUUGCACUGUCUGGGUUCAAGGAGCAUGGGGGAUACGAGAAGACAUCUCGUAAUUCCUUAAAAUAUUUCGGUCUAUUUUUAUCGAACUAUAUUUAUAUAUCUCCCAAAAUUUUGGAAUAUCACGGCAAGUUGGCAUUUCAAAAAUACACACAUAACAUACAAUAUUUAUACUAAAUGAGGUUGUUUUUGUUAACUGCAGAAUUAUAUAUUAACUGCAGAAUUAUGUGACUACCAUAUUUAUACUAAAUGAGGUUAUGU